GGUGCUUAAUUGCUUAAAAGGGAAGUCCGGUGUGAUACCGGCGCGGUCCCGCCACUGUAUUAAUGAGUAUCUUUACCUAUGCCACUGGCGAUUGCUGGGAAGGCGUAAAGAUAUGAUGAUUUUAGCCAGGAGACCUACCUGUUUUA
rnacentral:ncRNA from 1 species